GGGGCCUGCUUCCUGAUGACUGCCAGGGCUCCGGGGCUUCUUUCUCAGGUUCGCCAGACCUGCGUGACCCAUUUUUCUCAUCGUUUGUCCAGAGACGACCGCUCCCCUCACAGCACACCUUUCGGAGAGCCUUACCUAAUGCUCGCUCCUCCUCCCUUCCUGGGCCUUCAGCUCUCUCUUAGCUCUAUCACUCUAUUGAAAACGUUUGUUUGCCUCUCUUGAACCCUAUAAAAUUGGUAGUUCAUUCAUUUAGUCAACACGUAUUUAUUGAACAUCUUCUCUGUUAAGUGUUAACCUAUUGUUAUGUUUGGGGAAAUAAUAGAAAUAAAAAGCCAGAGCUCCUCCUCUCAGGGCAGAUAAAAGAUGCUUUCUGAGACAAAAACCAUGUUAUGUUUAUAUAUGUGACCUGGAACACACAGAUGCUCAAUACAUUUUCAAGAGAUGGAUGAAAGCAAGAGCUCUGAAGCCACCCUGUAAGGUUGCUGUGGUCCCCUUCUAGUGCUCCAUUUUUUUAAGGCUCAGGCUGAUACAGGAAUCCUCCCUGUGGAACUUAGGUGGGAAAAAUUAAAAGGGAGGGGCUCAUGGCUGAAUCUGAAUCAUGAGUCAUAUGCUUUCACUUGUAUAUAGGAAGGGGCCCUGGACCUUCUCUUCCCUCUAAUGGCACUGCUGUCCAGUGGGGGAUGUUUCUGCAUCCACCUGUUGAGCUUACUGUGUCUUCACUGGGGGAGGCUCCAUGGACACAGAUUGUCCAAGACCAUGUGGGUGAGCUUUUGGAUGGGAAGAUUCCAGAGGAUAUCCCCAAAGGAGAGGUGAACAAAAUAAGCUGGAAAGACAUCUGGCUCAAAGUCUCAUUUUGUGGCAUCUCACAUCUCAUUGAAGGCACAGACUAAAACCAAUCUUGUGAAGUCAAGUUGCAGUGU